UACGGGGGGGGUAAGCGUUGUUCGGAAUUACUGGGCGUAAAGGGCUCGUAGGCGGCCAACUAAGUCAGACGUGAAAUCCCUCAGCUUAACUGGGGAACUGCGUCUGAUACUGGAUGGCUUGGAUUUGGGAGAGGGAUGCGGAAUUCCAGGUGUAGCGGUGAAAUGCGUAGAUAUCUGGAGGAACACCGGGGGCGAAGGCGGCAUCCUGGACCAACACUGACGCUGAGUGAGCGAAAGCCAGGGGAGCAAACGGG
rnacentral:rRNA from 1 species